AUGAACGCUAGCGGCAGGCCUAACACAUGCAAGUCGAGGGGUAACAGUUCCAAGCAAUUGGAAGCUGACGACCGGCGCACGGGUGCGUAACGCGUAUGCAACCUACCUUUGACUGGAGGAUAGCCCGGAGAAAUCCGGAUUAAUACUCCAUAAUAUCAUAGAAAGGCAUCUUUUAGUGAUUAAAGAUUUAUUGGUCAAAGAUGGGCAUGCGUGACAUCAGUUAGUUGGUGAGGUAACGGCUCACCAAGGCAACGAUGUCUAGGGGUUCUGAGAGGAUAACCCCCCACACUGGUACUGAGACACGGACCAGACUCCUACGGGAGGCAGCAGUGAGGAAUAUUGGUCAAUGGGCGCAAGCCUGAACCAGCCAUGCCGCGUGCAGGAUGACGGCCCUAUGGGUUGUAAACUGCUUUUAUACGGGAAGAACCCUCUGAUCGUGAUCGGAGCUGACUGUACCGUAAGAAUAAGCACCGGCUAACUCCGUGCCAGCAGCCGCGGUAAUACGGAGGGUGCAAGCGUUAUCCGGAUUUAUUGGGUUUAAAGGGUGCGCAGGCGGAAUAGUAAGUCAGUGGUGAAAUCCCCCGGCUCAACCGGGGAACUGCCAUUGAUACUGCUGUUCUAGAGUUUAGUUGAAGUGGGCGGAAUGUAGCAUGUAGCGGUGAAAUGCAUAGAUAUGCUACAGAACACCGAUUGCGAAGGCAGCUCACUAAGCUAAAACUGACGCUCAGGCACGAAAGCGUGGGGAUCAAACAGGAUUAGAUACCCUGGUAGUCCACGCUGUAAACUAUGAUCACUCGUUGUUGGCGAUACACUGUCAGCGACUGAGCGAAAGUAUUAAGUGAUCCACCUGGGAAUUACGAUCGCCAGGUUGAAACGUCAAAGGGAAUUGACNGGGGGCCCGCACAAGCGGUGGAGCAUGUGGUUUAAUUCGAUGAUACGCGAGGAACCUUACCUGGGCUUAAAUGUUGGACGACAGUCCCCGAAAGGGGAUUUUCCUUCGGGACGUCCUACAAGGUGCUGCAUGGUUGUCGUCAGCUCGUGCCGUGAGGUGUCGGGUUAAGUCCCAUGACGAGCGCAACCCCUAUUCUUAGUUGCCAUCAGAUAAUGCUGGGGACUCUAAGGAAACUGCCUACGCAAGUAGUGAGGAAGGUGGGGAUGACGUCAAAUCAGCACGGCCCUUAUGUCCAGGGCUACACACGUGCUACAAUGGCCAGUACAGAGGGAAGCUACCAGGUGACUGGAUGCCAAUCUCGAAAGCUGGUCUCAGUUCGGAUUGGAGUCUGCAACUCGACUUCGUGAAGAUGGAAUCGCUAGUAAUCGCGCAUCAGCAAUGGCGCGGUGAUAUGUUCCCGGGCCUUGUACACACUGCCCGUCAAGCCAUGGAAGUUAGUAGUACACUGAAGUCCGUAACCGAAAGGAG
rnacentral:rRNA from 1 species